UACAGAGGUCUCAAGCGUUGUUCGGAUUCAUUGGGCGUAAAGGGUGCGUAGGCGGCGCGGUAAGUCGGGUGUGAAAUCUCGGGGCUUAACUCCGAAACUGCAUUCGAUACUGCCGUGCUUGAGGACUGGAGAGGAGACUGGAAUUUACGGUGUAGCGGUGAAAUGCGUAGAUAUCAAGAGGAAUACCUGAGGUGAAGACGGGUUGCUAGGCCGACACUGACGCUGAAGCGCGAAAGCCAGGGGAGCAAACGGG
rnacentral:rRNA from 1 species